AUUGAACGCUGGCGGCAGGCCUAACACAUGCAAGUCGAACGAGUGGCGGACGGGUGAGUAAUGUCGGGGAAACUGCCUGAUGGAGGGGGAUAACUGCUGGAAACGGUAGCUAAUACCGCAUACCAUCAGAUGUUCCCAGAUGGGAUUAGCUAGUUGGUGGGGUAACGGCUCACCAAGGCGACGAUCCCUAGCUGGUCUGAGAGGAUGACCAGCCACACUGGAACGGAGACACGGUCCAGACUCCUACGGGAGGCAGCAGUGGGGAAUAUUGCACAAUGGGCGCAAGCCUGAUGCAGCCACGCCGCGUGUAUGAAGAAGGCCUUCGGGUUGUAAAGCUCUUUCAUCGGGGAGGCGUUACCCGCACAAGAAGCAACGGCUAACUCCGUGCCAGCAGCCGCGAUAAUUC
rnacentral:rRNA from 1 species